rnacentral:misc_RNA from 1 species
GAGAUGGUCCACAACAAAUUCAGAUAUUGCGAGUAGGAGAUAAUUCCAACUACAUGUUCGUGGGAAGGGUAGCCAAAAAAUUAGAAGAUGUAAUUGCUCUGAAGGGCAAAGGAGACUUUAAGGAUGUGUUUGAGGGGACACUUCCGGAACCAGUGGUUGCAAGAAAUUAUAAACCAACCGUAGGCACUGCAACUACCUUAGACGAUGUAUGGAGCUGUCUCAGGGGGUAUGAAGUGGAGAUUGUUGGCGGGAUGGCGGGAUCGGAAAAACUACCCUCUUAACCCAAAUCAACG